rnacentral:rRNA from 1 species
AGCGAACGCUGGCGGCAGGCCUAACACAUGCAAGUCGAACGAACUCUUCGGAGUUAGUGGCGGACGGGUGAGUAACACGUGGGAACGUGCCUUUAGGUUCGGAAUAACUCAGGGAAACUUGUGCUAAUACCGAAUGUGCCCUUCGGGGGAAAGAUUUAUCGCCUUUAGAGCGGCCCGCGUCUGAUUAGCUAGUUGGUGAGGUAAAGGCUCACCAAGGCGACGAUCAGUAGCUGGUCUGAGAGGAUGAUCAGCCACAUUGGGACUGAGACACGGCCCAAACUCCUACGGGAGGCAGCAGUGGGGAAUCUUGCGCAAUGGGCGAAAGCCUGACGCAGCCAUGCCGCGUGAAUGAUGAAGGUCUUAGGAUUGCAAAAUUCUUUCACCGGGGACGAUAAUGACGGUACCCGGAGAAGAAGCCCCGGCUAACUUCGUG